rnacentral:rRNA from 1 species
GACGAACGCUGGCGGCGUGCUUAACACAUGCAAGUCGAACGGAAAGGCCCUGCUUUUGUGGGGUGCUCGAGUGGCGAACGGGUGAGUAACACGUGAGUAACCUGCCCUUGACUUUGGGAUAACUUCAGGAAACUGGGUCUAAUACCGGAUAGGAGCUCCUGCUGCAUGGUGGGGGUUGGAAAGUUUCGGCGGUUGGGGAUGGACUCGAGGCUUAUCAGCUUGUUGGUGGGGUAGUGGCUUACCAAGGCUUUGACGGGUAGCCGGCCUGAGAGGGUGACCGGCCACAUUGGGACUGAGAUACGGCCCAGAAUCCUACGGGAGGCAGCAGUGGGGAAUAUUGCACAAUGGGCGGAAGCCUGAUGCAGCAACGCCGCGUGCGGGAUAACGGCCUUCGGGUUGUAAACCGCUUUCGCCGGUGACGAAGAGUGAGUGACGGUAAUGGGUAAAGAAGCACCGGCUAACUACGUG